UACGUAGGGUGCGAGCGUUAAUCGGAAUUACUGGGCGUAAAGCGUGCGCAGACGGUUUUGUAAGUCAGAUGUGAAAUCCCCGGGCUCAACCUGGGAACUGCGUUUGAAACUACAAGGCUAGAGUGUAGCAGAGGGGGGUAGAAUUCCACGUGUAGCAGUGAAAUGCGUAGAGAUGUGGAGGAAUACCGAUGGCGAAGGCAGCCCCCUGGGAUAACACUGACGCUCAUGCACGAAAGCGUGGGGAGCGAACAGGA
rnacentral:rRNA from 1 species